AAUUAGGCGAGUCAGUGACGCGCCGCGCCGCGCGAAUCAGCUGCUCAGUUCACAUUGCCGUCGAUACGUAGCCGUCUCGUCACUCGUGUCUCCGUGCGUUCUAACUUUUUCGUUCCGUUCCGAGCGAUUUCCGCAAGCGAAUCGGUGUCGAAGGUGCGCAUUUAGUGUUGAAUUCGACGAUGGGCGAUCGCGUUAAUGUGUCGCGGUAGUCGUACAUCACCGGGUGACACCGGCGUGUCGCGAUUAACGCGUCCUCCUCAACCUAACCAACAAGUUGCAUCGCGUCACGUUGGUACAUUUUGUGGCUCGUCAAAGAGCGAUAUCGAAACGCGAGUUGAACUUGAGCGUCAAUUUGUUGAUAUAUCAUAUUGCAAUUACGUCGUAAAUACUAAAGCGUUCUCAUUAACGUUUCGGAAUGCCGCGAAGAAAUGUUCUCGACCCGCGUGAAAUCAGGCGAGUCAACGACGCUCCGCUUGAAUUAGCUACUCACUUCAUAUAGUUCCCGUCGGCACGUAGCCGCACUAGCCGCCUCGCGACGUACGUUCUAACUUUUUCGCUUCGUUUCGAGCGAUUUCCGCGAAAACCAGUGUCGAGGAUGCGCGUCCAAGGUGGCGACCGUCGCGUUGCGAUGAUACGUAAACAUACGCGCGAGUGUUAACCUCAUUCUCGCGAGUGAUCAGUGUUUUGAUGAGUGCCAUGGAUGUUCAACGACACGGCAGGACGAGAGGAAAGGAGAGGAGGAGGAGGAGGAGGAGGUCAGGGUGGUAUCAGGCGACGGCGGAACAACUCUAGGUUAAUGUAGCUGUGUUACAACUCCGCUGCUGCGCAUCGGUCCGUAAUCACCGUAGCUUCGUGGCUGA
rnacentral:lncRNA from 13 species